GACGAACGCUGGCGGCGUGCCUAAGACAUGCAAGUCGAGCGGGGCUUCGGGGCUUCGGCCCUGAAGCCUAGCGGCGGACGGGUGAGUAACACGUGGAUAACCUGCCCUCUGCUCUGGGAUAACAGGCCGAAAGGCCUGCUAAUACCGGAUAAGCUCACGGUCCCGCAUGGGGCUGGGAGAAAAGGCGCUGGAGUCAGUGGCGCUGGCAGAGGAGGGGUCCGCGGCCAUUAGCUGGUUGGCGGGGUAACGGCCCACCAAGGCGACGAUGGGUAGCCGGCCUGAGAGGGCGACCGGCCACACUGGGACUGAGACACGGCCCAGACUCCUACGGGAGGCAGCAGUCGGGAAUUUUGCACAAUGGGCGAAAGCCUGAUGCAGCAACGCCGCGUGAGCGAAGAAGGCCUUCGGGUUGUAAAGCUCUGUUGCCUGCGAAGAAGGGCCCCGUCAGGAAAUGGGCGGGGUUUGACGGUAGCAGGCGAGGAAGCCCCGGCAAACUACGUGCCAGCAGCCGCGGUAAUACGUAGGGGGCGAGCGUUGUCCGGAAUUACUGGGCGUAAAGGGCGUGUAGGCGGCCUGUUAAGUCAGGGGUGAAAGACCGGGGCUCAACCCCGGGGGUGCCUCUGAAACUGGCGGGCUUGAGUGCUCUAGAGGGCAGUGGAAUUCCCGGUGUAGCAGUGAAAUGCGUAGAGAUCGGGAGGAACACCAGUGGCGAAGGCGGCUGCCUGGGGAGUCACUGACGCUGAGGCGCGAAAGCUAGGGGAGCAAACAGGAUUAGAUACCCUGGUAGUCCUAGCCGUAAACGAUGAGUGCUAUGUGUGAGGGGUAUCGACCCCCCUCGUGCAGGAGCUAACGCACUAAGCACUCCGCCUGGGGAGUACGGCCGCAAGGUUGA
rnacentral:rRNA from 1 species